GGAAAUGAAGAAGUGGGUGGGAAAGGGAAAACUACUAGGGUGGAGGUUUGGGAAAAUUCCUCAGUCUUUUCACGACAUCAAACUGUUCAACAUGGUAGGUCAUCAGGAAAAACACAAAAAUCCUCCCCCUUGUGGAAUUUACCACUGGCGGGCUCGAUACCGUGCCCUCUGGCUCCGGCACCAUGUAAACGGGCGGGGCAACAAGAGGCUGUGGUUUGCUCAGGCUCGAAGAUGACACACUGAGGCAGGUGUUGUGAAGGAUUACACAACCUGGAUAGGGUCUUCAUGCAAAGAACCAAACCAAACAAAAACAAAAACAAAAACAAAGUCCACCAAGCUGUGAAAGGAAAGUGGCUGUUUAAGAGAGGAACGGUGCAGAGGGUUGCCCACCCCUCGAGAACCGCUAUCAGACGCUUUAACAAAAUCCACCCAGCCUGAAACAACAUGCAAGGCAACUUCUGUUUUGCCGUGUUUGUUUGUUUGUUUGUUUGUUUGUUUUUAAGGCUUACUAAAUAGCCAAGUCUGGCCUGGGACUUGUAAUCCUCCCAUCUCAGCUUCAUGACUGUUUGGCUUUUGGCAUGCAUCACUGUGCAUAACCCACAACACUGUCUAUUCUGUAAGGCUCAACAUUCCUUUUCCGUUUUUUAAAAACUGCAUAGCCUUCAGUUGGCUAUUCACAUUCCCCCCUGUUUUCACUACUUUUUUUUUUUUUUUUUUUUUGAUAGGUUCCAGGUAGGUAGCUUGCUUGUUCUUUUUGCCUUAGCUUCUCAAGGACUGGAAUCUCCUGUGUACCACCACACCCACACCUUCACGUUUCUCAAACAUUCCUUUCCCGUAUUUCCAGCUACUUGUUCUUUUCCCGAUACAGAUAAUGAUCACCUGCUGUCUAAUACUUUCCAUAAGAAUAGAGUGAAGAACCAGGAAAACUUGAUCCUUUCCCAUUCUCCAAUCCCCCAUCUCGCUGUGACUCCAGCGUUGGACCCUGAAGGACCGGCUGUGGCCCUGAGUAUGUGUACAGAGAAGCCUGAGAAGUUAGUGCAGAGACAGAGCGUGAAAGGGCUUUAGAAUCAUGCCUGGUAAAGCUCUCUGGGCUGCUAAGAAAUGGAGUACCACGCAAAGACAUUAAGUCACAAUAACACCACAAACAUCCUCAAGUAAACCCUUUGCUAACUGGCCUCUAAACAUGUUGCCUGCCACCGUGAAGUCAAGUCUGAUGAGAGGACGUUGGAGUGGAAUGACACUUACACACUGUGAUUUAACCUCAAAGUGUGACUCAUUUGUCUCACUUCUACUAAUUUUUAGACUUCUGACUGGGUGGACACAUUGGCGACAAUCUUCCCAGUCCAGGAUCCUUGAAGAAGACCCCGGAAGAUGAGAGCCCUACCAUAUUGCCAUUGCUAGCAGGUUUGCAUGAGGUUUUGAGGGAAUUUGAGCAAGUGGUUUACUCUCCUGACUCAGUUUAGACUUCUGUCUAUUCUGCUGCAUUCUUGCCAGGGUCAAAUAAGCAUAUCUAUAUUUCUAUGUGAUUUUGAGCAAGUCACUCUGUGUUUUUUUUUUUUUGUUUUUUUUUUUGGCAUCUGCUUGCUCUGAGUUCUUGUGAGAGUCAAUAAGAGUAUACAACUGCCUCACAAAACAAAACGCAGGCUCAGCUGUUUUUCUGAGUUACCAGGCUCAGCACCUGGUCUGUGUAGAACACGGUCAAGUUGGUGAGUCGUUUGAAGAGAUCAGUGCAAGGAGAACUAACUCCUAUUCUCUAUUUAGAUUUGUCAAGUAAGAAGUAACCCUCCAUGCCCAGCAGGAUUCACAAUCAGCAGAAAACAAAAAGCUCGGAGGAGGGAGGUUCCCACGGGGAGCACCGUGCUCAGGGAGACCUCGAGCCAUCUCAGCUGAUAAACUGGAUCUACAAAAUCAGAUCGAGACUGUGCCACAUACUCCAUCCUUUUGGCUCUUCCUUGUGCAGCACAUGGCUGGUCUGGAGCGCAGGGCCGUGCUGGGAUCCCACAGCUUUGACUCCUGGCCUUAUUAGACAGACCAAGUUUCCCUACUCUGAAGAAAUGACUGGCAUCUCACUCUUCUUUCACGGUCCUCCACGGUUGCCAGGGUCUGCUGUCUCAGGUCCUCCCAACUUGAUGUCGAAUGUGGCUUUGUAUAGCAUGAGCACCCAUAGGGACUUUUUGAUUUUAUUUGGUUGUCUGUUCUUCUUCGACAGGGUGUCUCUGUUUUUCUCAUGGCUGUUCUGGAACUCACUCUGUAGACCAGGCUAGCCUCAAACUCACAGAACUCUGCCUGUUAAAGUUGCCACAGCCUGGGCUUUCUCCAACAGCAGUGUUGAGCCUCCCCUUUCAGAGCCUCUGUUAAUGAUGCUGUGGGUAAUGGCUUUCAAGGACAUCCAGUGUCCUUCCCAAGGGCAAAAGCCUUUGGGAAUCUUGACAGAACAUCGGGCAAGAACCAAAUGUUUUCAUGACAGAACAAAAAUCAGUCCUGCACAGCCAAGCACGGUACUCUUCUUGAAUGAGGUGAGACAGCUGUUCACGCUCAUGAUUAGCCAGGCCAGCACAGGUAGCUCCUCUCCACCUCUCACAAGCUGCCUUGGCUUUGGUGUUUCUCUUCACUGAAAGUAGCGAGGUAACAUUGCAUGAACUGUCAAGGGAGUGUUGGCAGAAGGAAGAUGUCUGCCAUGGGGUGAAUGUAGGACCUGGAAGAAGGGCAGCCACCAACCCCCUAGGUCAUCCCAUUCCUAGGUCUCUGCAGGGAACCAUUAGAAUCAGGAAACAAAUGACUCUCAAGAGGAGAUAGUAGAGACAAAUUUCCAUUUCCACUGAGGGAGGGAAACAGGCCCCUGAGCCUAAAAUUGCUGUCUUUAGACUUUUUUUUUCCACCCCCAAUCCUUCCACUUCUUUAAGAAUUUCAGAAAACUGUUAUUAACUGUGGCUUUAUUAUUACCUUUUAGUGAAGUGCAGGCUUAUUUGGGGCUAUCUAUUUUUUCUAUCAGUUUAAGCACAUACACACAUUACAGGAACAUAUCAUCAUGCAGAUGAAUGUUCUACUUUCUUCAAGUUUGUCAUUGUUCAUGAUUAAACUUGCACACAUAUACGAAGAAGCA